rnacentral:SRP_RNA from 1 species
UUCGGUCCUAUGCAAUAUGAACCCAUGAAUCAUGUCAGGUCCUGACGGAAGCAGCAUUAAGUGGACCCUCAUAUGUGCCGUAGGGUAGCCGAGAUUUAGCUAUCGACUUCGGUAACGUUUAUGAUGUACACUCGAUUCGAAGGUGCACGG